GACGAACGCUGGCGGCGUGCCUAAUACAUGCAAGUCGAACGCACAGUUUAUACCGUAGCUUGCUACACCAUAGACUGUGAGUUGCGAACGGGUGAGUAACGCGUAGGUAACCUGCCUGGUAGCGGGGGAUAACUAUUGGAAACGAUAGCUAAUACCGCAUAAUAUUAAUUAUUGCAUGAUAAUUAAUUGAAAGGUGCAAUUGCACCACUACCAGAUGGACCUGCGUUGUAUUAGCUAGUAGGUGAGGUAACGGCUCACCUAGGCGACGAUACAUAGCCGACCUGAGAGGGUGAUCGGCCACACUGGGACUGAGACACGGCCCAGACUCCUACGGGGGGCAGCAGUAGGGAAUCUUCGGCAAUGGACGAAAGUCUGACCGAGCAACGCCGCGUGAGUGAAGAAGGUUUUCGGAUCGUAAAGCUCUGUUGUAAGAGAAGAACGGGUGUGAGAGUGGAAAGUUCACACUGUGACGGUAUCUUACCAGAAAGGGACGGCUAACUACGUG
rnacentral:rRNA from 1 species